rnacentral:rRNA from 1 species
AGACCCGAAACCCGGUGAUCUAGCCAUGGGCAGGUUGAAGGUUGGGUAACACUAACUGGAGGACCGAACCGACUAAUGUUGAAAAAUUAGCGGAUGACCUGUGGCUGGGGGUGAAAGGCCAAUCAAACCGGGAGAUAGCUGGUUCUCCCCGAAAGCUAUUUAGGUAGCGCCUCGUGAAUUCAUCUCCGGGGGUAGAGCACUGUUUCGGCUAGGGGGCCAUCCCGGCUUACCAACCCGAUGCAAACUGCGAAUACCGGAGAAUGUUAUCACGGGAGACACACGGCGGGUGCUAACGUCCGUCGUGAAGAGGGAAACAACCCAGACCGCCAGCUAAGGUCCCAAAGUCAUGGUUAAGUGGGAAACGAUGUGGGAAGGCCCAGACAGCCAGGAUGUUGGCUUAGAAGCAGCCAUCAUUUAAAGAAAGCGUAAUAGCUCACUGGUCGAGUCGGCCUGCGCGGAAGAUGUAACGGGGCUAAACCAUGCACCGAAGCUGCGGCAGCGAACGUAUCACCCAAGACAACUUUACGGAGUUGACGAUUGACGGAGCGAAGCGACGUCAAAGCGUUCAUUAAAGUCGAGUUGGCUUAGGGAUACGUUCGUUGGGUAGGGGAGCGUUCUGUAAGCCUGUGAAGGUGUGUCGUGAGGCAUGCUGGAGGUAUCAGAAGUGCGAAUGCUGACAUAAGUAACGAUAAAGCGGGUGAAAAGCCCG